CAGAGAAACACUAUUUAAUCACUACUGACCACAUCUCAGAGAGGUACCAGAUAAACACUAUUUAAUCACUACUGACCACAUCUCAGAGAGGUACCAGAUAAACACUAUUUAAUCACUACUGACCACAUCUCAGAGAGGUACCAGAUAAACACUAUUUAAUCACUACUGACCACAUCUCAGGAGAGGUACCAGAGAAACACUAUUUAAUCACUACUGACCACAUCUCAGAGAGGUACCAGAUAAACACUAUUUAAUCACUACUGACCACAUCUCAGAGAGGUACCAGAUAAACACUAUUUAAUCACUACUGACCACAUCUCAGAGAGGUACCAGAUAAACACUAUUUAAUCACUACUGACCACAUCUCAGAGAGGUACCAGAGAAACACUAUUUAAUCACUACUGACCACAUCUCAGAGAGGUACCAGAUAAACACUAUUUAAUCACUACUGACCACAUCUCAGAGAGGUACCAGAGAAACACUAUUUAAUCACUACUGACCACAUCUCAGAGAGGUACCAGAUAAACACUAUUUAAUCACUACUGACCACAUCUCAGAGAGGUACCAGAGAAACACUAUUUAAUCACUACUGACCACAUCUCAGAGAGGUACCAGAUAAACACUAUUUAAUCACUACUGACCACAUCUCAGAGAGGUACCAGAUAAACACUAUUUAAUCACUACUGACCACAUCUCAGAGAGGUACCAGAGAAACACUAUUUAAUCACUACUGACCACAUCUCAGAGAGGUACCAGAUAAACACUAUUUAAUCACUACUGACCACAUCUCAGAGAGGUACCAGAGAAACACUAUUUAAUCACUACUGACCACAUCUCAGAGAGGUACCAGAUAAACACUAUUUAAUCACUACUGACCACAUCUCAGAGAGGUACCAGAGAAACACUAUUUAAUCACUAAUGCAAUAUUAGAUUAUUGGACAUAAAAGCUUCGAUGUCUGGCUUUUACAAUCGAAGAAAGACAUGUAAUUUAGAUGUUUUUUCU